rnacentral:rRNA from 1 species
GACGAACGCUGGCGGCGUGCUUAACACAUGCAAGUCGAACGAAGUGGCGAACGGGUGAGUAACGCGUAAUCAACCUGCCCUUCGGAGGGGGACAACAGUUGGAAAAGCCUGCUAAUACCGCAUACUGAAGGAGGGGAUUGCGUCUGAUUAGCUAGUGGGAGGGGUAACGGCCCACCAAGGCGAGGAUCAGUAGCCGGUCUGCGAGGAUGAACGGCCACAGUGGGACUGAGGCACGGGACAGAGUCCGUCGGGAGGCAGCAGUGGGGGAUCUUCCGCAAUGGGCGGAAGACUGACGGAGCAACGGCGCGGGAGGGAUGACGGCCUUCGGGUUGUAAAGCUAUGUUAAUCGGGACGCGGUACCUGAAUAGAAAGCCACGGCUAACUACGUGCUAGCCGCCGCGGUAAUUC